UGAGUUUGUUGAAACAAAUGAGGUUCAGAGUUCCUCCUUGUGAUCUUCUCGCUCCAAAGUUCUCACCCAGAUGAAUCCCAGAUGAUCCCGACUCUCUGAUUUUGUCCUGUGGUGAUCUGCAGAGAUCAGACUAAUAUUUACUGGAUCAAUGAUCCGCUCUGACUCCACAAAGAUAUCAGCUCCAACGGAUCUUCAGCCAUUGUGUCCCGACGCUCCGAUCAAUGAACGGAAAACAUUCCUGCUCCCACCCACUGACCCGGUACCCCCCCCACGGAGGUGAUUUAUGGAGCUCCAGGAUUUAAGAGCAGGAAGGUGGGGGCGGGGUCACAGGGACGCCAAUCAGGAGCUCAGCUGCUGCCUUCAGGGACCGUCGGGGAUUCAGCGUUUCUGAUGAUUUGGUUGAUGUUCUACGUCGGACACUCGCCGACAACCCUCUGCAUUUAUCCGGACUUGGGACCGGCACAGGACAGCACAGCGCCCCCUGUGGUUGCAUUACCUAACCAAACCUGGAUUUUCAUCAUUAUAAAGGUCCUCGAGGGUCACGGUUACGUCAGCCAGAAACGUCUGAUUCUCGGAGGAUUUAAGAGAUUAAACUUCAUAUUUGAUUAGA